rnacentral:rRNA from 1 species
UACGUAGGGUGCGAGCGUUAAUCGGAAUUACUGGGCGUAAAGCGUGCGCAGUCGGUUAUUUAAGUCGGAUGUAAAAUCCCCGGGCUCAACCUGGGAAUUGCAUUCGAUACUGGAUAGCUAGAGUUCGGCAGAGGGAAGUGGAAUUUCAGGUGUAGCGGUGAAAUGCGUAGAUAUCUGAAGGAACAUCAGUGGCGAAAGCGACUUCCUGGACCAGAACUGACGAUCAGGCACGAAAGCGUGGGGAGCAAACAGG